UAAAAGAUCAUAUUUUCAUAUAUACAAUGCUUCGGGGAGUUGAAAACAAGCGUAGAUCUGGGGAUUCCCGAUAUAGGUUAACCUUUCGAACUGCUACUGAAUCCAUGGGCAGGCAAGAGACAACCUAGUGAACAUAAACAUCUUAGUAGCCAGAGGAAAAGAAAGCAAAAGC
rnacentral:ncRNA from 1 species